CCUACGGGUGGCAGCAGUGGGGAAUAUUGGGCAAUGGGCGCAAGCCUGACGCAGCAACGCCGCGUGAAGGAAGAAGGCUUUCGGGUCGUAAACUUCUAUCGACAGGGACGAGCAGAAGACGGUACCUGUCGAAUAAGCCACGGCUAACUACGUGCCAGCAGCCGCGGUAAUACGUAGGUGGGCAGCGUUGUCCGGAUUUACUGGGUGUAAAGGGCGUGUAGCCGGGCUGACAAGUCAGAUGUGAAAUCCGGGGGCUCAACCCCCGAACUGCAUUUGAAACUGUUGGUCUUGAGUAUCGGAGAGGCAGGCGGAAUUCCUAGUGUAGCGGUGAAAUGCAUAGAUAUCACGCAGAACUCCGAUGGCGAAGGCAGCAUACCGGCGCUCAACUGACGCUCAGGCACGAAAGUGUGGGUAGCGAACAGGAUUAGAUACCCGUGUAGUC
rnacentral:rRNA from 1 species